CACAACAGUGAAAAUAAAGUUAAAUAACACAAAGGUUACCUGUUUUUUUAGAUUCGCCCAUAUAUAUGUAAGUGCAUAGUCAAACUUGCGAUUUACCUAUCUACCCUACUGGCUAAGUGGCGCACAUAUCUAUAUAUAAGUGACCGCUGAAACACAAUGCCGACGAACGACGAACUUUUCGCUGCGAAUGUUCGCUGUAAAAAUUAAAACACACUGUCGUAUAUGAGAACGACGACUUUCGUCCGACGACUGUUCGCAACGAUAGACAUAUUUCUAUCGUCGUCGCUAGCGGCAACGGCAAAAUACGAUCCAUUGUGGCCAAAUGCUAAAUAUUCUCAGGUUUUUAAAUCGAAAAGGAAAAAUAAUGUAUUAGUUUUUGUUAAAAAUUAAUAAUCUUACUGUUCGUAAAAAUUUUAUUUUAGUAAAAACUAUUUUCUAACAUUUCCUGUUCUUGUUGAACCAUUUAUUUGUUAUUAUAUUCCUUUUGUGUUCUCAAAGUUUUCUUUUUUACGUUUGGUCACCCUAUCAGCUGAUAUGUGUACAAACUGUUUUUGUGGAAGAAAGUAAACAUUGCGGCGAACGAACUUAAAUUCUUGUUAUUAUUGCAAACAAAAUGGAUAUUAAUGAAAUAUUAAUAGAAGAAGUUAGAAACAUGAAUGUUUGUACGACUUAUCGAGCAAUGAAUACAAAAACGUGUUUAAAAAGGCAGUGAUUUGGGAAGAAAUCGGCAAAUCUGUUUCUUUACCGGCGGUGGAGAGGACUUCGCGACACCUACAAAAGGCGAAAGCGCACUUCGCAACUUAGCUCCGGCAGCGGCGCACCGAGUCCUACAAAAAAGUGGAAAUAUUUGCAGACGUUGAGUUCUUUAGACAAUUACAAGGAUUCGAGGCCAACUGUUGGAAGUGUCCUCCCCGAAGAAAGGGAGCUUGACUUUUUGUUAAAUUGCUCCUCAUCAACAAGUCUCACAGAGAAUCAAAGCUCACCAACAACACCAAUAAUAGAUGAAGGAGAACACCAAAGAAAAGAGCCGCUACCGAGGAAACCAUCAAAGAAGCAAGCAGAUGCAGAGGUCAUGCAAGUUUUUACGGAAGUGGUGCAGGAAUGUGCGGUUACAGUGAAAGAGCUCGCAUCUGCUGCAAUAUCAAGUGACCAAGAGCGUGAUGCGACAUCUUUAUUAUUUGAAAGCUUGGCAAAAAAAAUAAGUGGCGCUGAUUUGCGCAGGGCGAUGUAAGGCGAAUAGAAGCAAAAGUAAUUGCUUUGGUUUAUGAUGAGCUAGCCAACAUUAGCAAUAAGUGAA